rnacentral:rRNA from 1 species
GGCUUAACACAUGCAAGUCGAGGGGCAGCGUAAAAUAAGUUUGCUUAUUUCAAGGUAUAGCUCGUAGAAAUUCGAAUUAAUACCCCAUAGUAUAAAAUUUUCGCCUGAAUAUUUUAUUAAAGCCUUGGGUUAAAACCUUUGGUAGCAAAGGAUGAGCGUGCGCCCGAUUAGUUAGUUGGUGAGGUAAUGGCUUACCAAGACUGCUAUCGGUAGGGGGCCUGAGAGGGUGAUCCUCCAACUGGUACUGAGACACGGACCAGACCUUUACGGAGGGCAGCAGUGAGGAAUAUUGGUCAAUGGAGGAAACUCUGAACCAGCCACUCCGCGUGCAGGACGACGGCCUUCUGGGUUGUAAACUGCUUUUGUAUAGAAAUAAAAUUUCUUACUAGUAAGAACUUGAAGGUACUAUACGAAUAAGUGUCGGCUAACUCCGUGCCAGCAGCCGCGGUAAUACGGAGGACACAAGCGUUAUCCGGAUUUAUUGGGUUUAAAGGGUGCGUAGGCGGUUUGUUAAGUCAGUAGUGAAAUCUUACAGCUCAACUGUAAAAUUGCUAUUGAUACUAGCAGCCUARAGUAAGAUUGGAGCAAUUGGAAUGUGUGGUGUAGCGGUGAAAUGCAUAGAUAUCACACAGAACACCGAUCGCGAAGGCAGAUUGCUAAGUCUUUACUGACGCUGAGGCACGAAAGCGUGGGUAGCAAACAGGAUUAGAUACCCUGGUAGUCCACGCUGUAAACGAUGAUCACUAGCUGUUGGAUUGUUUUUUUUAUUCAGUGGCCAAUCGAAAGAGGUAAGUGAUCCACCUGGGGAGUACGAUCGCAAGAUUGAAACUCAAAGGAAUUGACGGGGGUCCGCACAAGCGGUGGAGCACGUGGUUUAAUUCGAUAAUACGCGAGGAACCUUACCAAGGCUUAAAUGUACCACGAAUAAGCUGGAAACAGUUUANUUUUCGACGGGGUACAAGGUGCUGCAAUGGUUGUCGU